rnacentral:misc_RNA from 1 species
CAGAUUUUCACAUUACCAACAACACCAGAAAACCAAUACUAAUUCAUUCCAGGGAAUUCAACGUCCUCACUUUCCCAACUUUUCCAUCCCAGAAAGGAAGUUGAACAAGUAUAAAAGACAAAGAAGGUUAGCACAGGUAAUCAGCAUUCUGGGCUUGCUACCAAAAGUGUUCAAAAAAUAUUAACCCUCCAACUCCAGCCAGUAGUAAACAGGAAUGUGGCACAAUGAUGUAGACAACACAAUAGAAUUAAAAUCCAACUGCCUACCCAAUAAAAAUGACAUUAAAGUUUGAUGAAUCUCACACAACCAACCAAACUCACCCCCAUUACCAUUGCAUAUAUUAAUGUUAUACUAAGGUCAGUAAUCAAAUUUAGCAAUCAAGAAAUGAGAAUGGGAAUAGUCCCUCUUCGUAAUUUCAUAUCUCAUGCACAAGCUACAUAUACAGAUGAAAAUCAAGUAAUGAAAUUUCUUAUUUUCACUCGAGUUUACAAGUUAACAAAUAUACCAAUGCAAGAGAAAUGAAUGCCUAUACUCGGUUCAAGAAACCCAGUAGAGCCUAUACUCGGCUCAAGAAACCCAGUAGAGCUUUAAACAAAAAGACAAGUUAGACAACUCAGUAACUAAAUAUAGAAAGAAAACAUAUACUCACCAGAAGGCUUAUUAGAAGAGAAAA